UGGCUCCUCAGCCAAGCGCACGAACCAAAUGUCUGAACCCGCGCCACGACGGGCGGUGUGUACAAAGGGCAGGGACUUAAUCAACGCAAGCUGAUGACCUGCGCUUACUGGGAAUUCCUCGUUCUCGGGAAAUAGUUUCAAUCCCCGGUCCCCAUCACGGGCGGGGUUCAACGGGUUACCCGCGCCUGUCGGCGCAGGGUAGGCACACGUUGAUCCGCCCAUUGUGGCGCGCGUGCAGCCCCGGACAUCUAAGGGCAUCACAGACCUGUUAUUGCU